rnacentral:rRNA from 1 species
UAAUCCUGGUCGGACAUCAGGAGGUUAGUGCAAUGGCAUAAGCCAGCUUGACUGCGAGCGUGACGGCGCGAGCAGGUGCGAAAGCAGGUCAUAGUGAUCCGGUGGUUCUGAAUGGAAGGGCCAUCGCUCAACGGAUAAAAGGUACUCCGGGGAUAACAGGCUGAUACCGCCCAAGAGUUCAUAUCGACGGCGGUGUUUGGCACCUCGAUGUCGGCUCAUCACAUCCUGGGGCUGAAGUAGGUCCCAAGGGUAUGGCUGUUCGCCAUUUAAAGUGGUACGCGAGCUGGGUUUAGAACGUCGUGAGACAGUUCGGUCCCUA